rnacentral:other from 2 species
AAUUUUCUGCCUUGUUCGAGUAUGUUACAGCAUUUUAUAAAUCCAACACUUAUAAUAAGGGAAUUCUGCUCCUGGCGCGGAUUGCAGACCUCCCGGCCGGAUAUUAUGGUCCGGUUGGACGAAGGGAGCGCGAUGUGUCGGGGGGAAUACCCACCUGCUGAAAGGCGGGUUUAUGUUGCUGUGCGACGGCAAGGUGGAGUAUUU